CAGUCCCUGCUGUUGCCUGGUGGUUUCAGUGUCCACCUGUGGGACUCACAGCCUCUGGCCUUAGUACUGUCCUCUUUGUUCCUAGGAUCUGCUUCUCUCCUCUCCUCUUCUCUUCUCUGUCUCAGCCACCCACUCCCAUGGUCCAGACUCAUGAAUUCGGGCAUCCCAGUCCUUAAGCGUAAUCUUCUCACCUUCCAGAUUUCCUGACUACCACCUCAACCGUUGCCUUAUUUUUUCUACCCUAUCAACCUUCUUUUUAUCAUGUCUCCUUUUGUCCAGCUUCUAUUCCAUGAUCCAUUGUUUCAGUAACACUCUUGCCGCUACCCUAAACUCCAUCCCAGUCUUUUUUUAAAAAACACACUCAAACGGCAUAUUCCCAACCCUGAAUGAACCAACACAUGAGCAGCUAAGAAAUAUAAGAAAGAAGAUUCACACCAGAGAACACAGUGGGGACAUCAUCAAUUCACUCACUUGCUUUCUGCUGAAUUUAUUCUCCCAUUGCUUGCUCCUCCCUGUUCACCCACUCAUUUAUUUGCUCUUUUCACUUGCUCACUCAUUUAUUCUUCCACUAUUCUGUAAACUGAUGUUUCUUGGUCAUCUGCUAUGUGCCUGUAGGGCCCCCAUGCGGCCCACAGCCCCACUGUGUUUGCUUGGUUGGCCUGCUCUACUCCUCUUUGUGUUAUCAAUAUUUCAAACUCCUUCACUCUCCUCUGAUGUUCGGCUCCCUACAUACUCCUUCUCCAUCUUUUCAAAACAACCGGAUCUCUUGUGUCACCAGGAAAUCCAGAGCCAUCAGACUUUUUCUCAGAACCUUAAGUUGAUUUAAAAUUUUCAUCUUCAUUAACUUUAUCCUGAAUCUUUAUUUUUUGUCCAGAACACCUGAGAUAUUCUGAACAGAGGCUUAUUUUUGUUAAUUAUCUCACAGGGAACAGUAAGUGUGUUGCCCUUUGCCUGUUGAUUACCCCCAGGGGUAGAGUCAUAGGGAUUUUUCCUACAUAAGUGGUAGUGGCUUUUCUUUGCUCUUGAUGGGAAGGACACAGCUUUCCCCACCCCUCCAGAAAGGGUUUCCUUGGAAAUGGCAUGGGCCGGAGUCCUACCUCUACUCCUUUGUUGGGUAGAUAAAAUCUACCCAGGAGCCAGACUUAGAGAUGUCUCUCGUCUUAUUAUUACACAUACUGUUACACCUGUUUAGUCCACAAUAUAUUAAGGAUUUACUAUGUGCUAUGGUGUCAGGAUACAGCAAUAAAUGAAACAUGAAAACCCAUGUCUGAUGGAGCUUGCAUUCUGGUGAAACAGAUAGGCAGUGGACAAGAUGAGUUCCACAGUGUAGUAAUUGUGAUAGUAUGUGGGAGAUAAGAAAUGCUAAGGAUGGGUGGUGUUAGAGGAAGAUCUACAGAGAGUGGCCUCUAAGAAGCCAUCUGUGGAAGCAAACCUUAGGCAAUGAGAGCAGGAUGAAUGGAUGUCUGAGGGCAGGGCCUCCCCGGCAGGGAAAGAAAAAGUGCAAAGACCUCAAGGCAGGAGUACAUCAUCUGGCAUAUUCAGGGACAGCAGGGUUCCAGCAUGGAUAAGGGGAGCCCAGAAGCGGGGCCGUUCUUUUGAAUAUAUACCCAGAAGUGGAAUUGCUGGAUCAUAUGGUAAUUCUGUGUUUAAUUUUUUGAAGAACCUCCAUACUGUUUCCUAUAGUAGCUAUAUCAUCCUCCAUUUCCACCAACAUUGCAUGAAGGAUCCAGUUU
rnacentral:lncRNA from 1 species